rnacentral:rRNA from 1 species
AACCAACAAGCUUGCUUGUUGGGGUUGUAGGACACUCUAUACGGAGUUACAAAGGACGACAUUAGACGAAUCAUCUGGAAAGAUGAAUCAAAGAAGGUAAUAAUCCUGUAGUCGAAAAUGUUGUCUCUCUUGAGUGGAUCCUGAGUACGACGGAGCACGUGAAAUUCCGUCGGAAUCUGGGAGGACCAUCUCCUAAGGCUAAAUACUCUCUAGUGACCGAUAGUGAACCAGUACCGUGAGGGAAAGGUGAAAAGCACCCCGGAAGGGGAGUGAAAUAGAACCUGAAACCGUGUGCUUACAAGUAGUCAGAGCCCGUUAAUGGGUGAUGGCGUGCCUUUUGUAGAAUGAACCGGCGAGUUACGAUUUGAUGCAAGGUUAAGCAGUAAAUGUGGAGCCGUAGCGAAAGCGAGUCUGAAUAGGGCGUUUAGUAUUUGGUCGUAGACCCGAAACCAGGUGAUCUACCCUUGGUCAGGUUGAAGUUCAGGUAACACUGAAUGGAGGACCGAACCGACUUACGUUGAAAAGUGAGCGGAUGAACUGAGGGUAGCGGAGAAAUUCCAAUCGAACCUGGAGAUAGCUGGUUCUCUCCGAAAUAGCUUUAGGGCUAGCCUCAAGUGAUGAUUAUUGGAGGUAGAGCACUGUUUGGACGAGGGGCCCCUCUCGGGUUACCGAAUUCAGACAAACUCCGAAUGCCAAUUAAUUUAACUUGGGAGUCAGAACAUGGGUGAUAAGGUCCGUGUUCGAAAGGGAAACAGCCCAGACCACCAGCUAAGGUCCCAAAAUAUAUGUUAAGUGGAAAAGGAUGUGGCGUUGCCCAGACAACUAGGAUGUUGGCUUAGAAGCAGCCAUCAUUUAAAGAGUGCGUAAUAGCUCACUAGUCGAGUGACACUGCGCCGAAAAUGUACCGGGGCUAAACAUAUUACCGAAGCUGUGGAUUGUCCUUUGGACAAUGGUAGGAGAGCGUUCUAAGGGCGUUGAAGCAUGAUCGUAAGGACAUGUGGAGCGCUUAGAAGUGAGAAUGCCGGUGUGAGUAGCGAAAGACGGGUGAGAAUCCCGUCCACCGAUUGACUAAGGUUUCCAGAGGAAGGCUCGUCCGCUCUGGGUUAGUCGGGUCCUAAGCUGAGGCCGACAGGCGUAGGCGAUGGAUAACAGGUUGAUAUUCCUGUACCACCUAUAAUCGUUUUAAUCGAUGGGGGGACGCAGUAGGAUAGGCGAAGCGUGCGAUUGGAUUGCACGUCUAAGCAGUAAGGCUGAGUAUUAGGCA